CGUGUACAUCGGAUGGGAGCGUUACGCGGCACCACAGCCAGCAUCACAUCAUAAAUUUUUAAAGGCGCUGGCUGUAUAACGAAGACCUGAGGAUCAACUCUUCGCUGAAGCAUCAAACCAUUUUGGGUAUGAUCUCAGCCUGUGAAAAAUUUCCUGAAUCUUGGUUUAACUUAUCUUCGUGUUUUUUCCAGUACCUACCUGUUUUCAGGUUUAAAGAAACACUUUGGAAAUCCUUGGAUCCCGGUCAAUUCAGCCUGCCUAUCCUCGAGCCACUCACCUGUCCAUGCGCUGCCGUCUCGCCUCCAACAUACCUGUAAAUAAAUACUCACCUGUAAAUAUUCACCUUGGAACUCACCUGCUCCUCAGCGCUUCACCUAAAGCCCUCACCUGUCCCACUCCC